AAAAAUAAUUAGUAAUAAUAAUAAUAAUGAGCACUAAUUAUAGUCAUCAAGCAGCAUCACUGAAAACUCAAUUGGAUUACUAAAAAAUAUUCACAAUUUCGCUUAAUCAUUAAACUAAAAUAGACAAACCAUAAAAAUACAAAUCUAAUUUAAAAAUCAAUCCAAAU